AUUGAACGCUGGCGGCAGGCCUAACACAUGCAAGUCGAACGAGUGGCGGACGGGUGAGUAAUGUCUGGGAAACUGCCUGAUGGAGGGGGAUAACUACUGGAAACGGUAGCUAAUACCGCAUACCAUCGGAUGUGCCCAGAUGGGAUUAGCUAGUAGGUGGGGUAAAGGCUCACCUAGGCGACGAUCCCUAGCUGGUCUGAGAGGAUGACCAGCCAAACGGGAACUGAGGAACGGGUCAGAAUCCCACGGGAGGCAGCAGUGGGGAAUAUUGCACAAUGGGCGCAAGCCUGAUUCAGCCAUGCCGCGUGGAUGGAGAAGGCCCUCGGGUUGUAAAGUACUUUCAGCGGGGAAGCGGUACCCGCAGAAGAAGCACCGGCUAACUCCGGGCCAGCAGCCGCGGUAAUAC
rnacentral:rRNA from 1 species